rnacentral:rRNA from 1 species
CCUACGGGUGGCAGCAGUGAGGAAUAUUGGUCAAUGGGCUUACGCCUGAACCAGCCAAGUCGCGUGAGGGAAGACUGCCCUAUGGGUUGUAAACCUCUUUUGUCAGGGAGCAACGCCGGCUACGUGUAGCCGGACUGAGAGUCCCUGAAGAAAAGGCCUCGGCUAACUCCGUGCCAGCAGCCGCGGUAAUACGGAGGAUGCGAGCGUUAUCCGGAUUUAUUGGGUUUAAAGGGUGCGUAGGCGGAAUGCCAAGUCAGCGGUAAAAUCGGGGGGCUCAACCUCGCUCAGCCGUUGAAACUGGCGGUCUUGAGUGGGCGAGAAGUAUGCGGAAUGCGUGGUGUAGCGGUGAAAUGCAUAGAUAUCACGCAGAACUCCGAUUGCGAAGGCAGCAUACCGGCGCCCAACUGACGCUGAAGCACGAAAGCGUGGGUAUCGAACAGGAUUAGAUACCCCUGUAGUC